GACGAACGCUGGCGGCGUGCUUAACACAUGCAAGUCGAACGGAGAGGCCCUGCUUUUGUGGGGUGCUCGAGUGGCGAACGGGUGAGUAACACGUGAGUAACCUGCCCUUGACUUUGGGAUAACUUCGGGAAACUGGGGCUAAUACCGGAUAGGAGCUCCUGCUGCAUGGUGGGGGUUGGAAAGUUUCGGCGGUUGGGGAUGGACUCGCGGCUUAUCAGCUUGUUGGUGGGGUAGUGGCUUACCAAGGCUUUGACGGGUAGCCGGCCUGAGAGGGUGACCGGCCACAUUGGGACUGAGAUACGGCCCAGACUCCUACGGGAGGCAGCAGUGGGGAAUAUUGCACAAUGGGCGGAAGCCUGAUGCAGCAACGCCGCGUGCGGGAUGACGGCCUUCGGGUUGUAAACCGCUUUCGCCUGUGACGAAGCGUGAGUGACGGUAAUGGGUAAAGAAGCACCGGCUAACUACGUG
rnacentral:rRNA from 1 species